rnacentral:hammerhead_ribozyme from 1 species
GUACUGAUGAGGAGUCCCACACUAGGACGAAACAGCUAUCCAGUAC